rnacentral:lncRNA from 1 species
GAAGACACAUUGUUCCACAGUUACUUAAUGGGGUAAUUGCAUGUAAAUCCAUAACGUUUACACGAAAUUGAUUUUUACUCCUAUUUUUAAAAAUCUGCCUCUAAAUACAUAACCGACGUCGGAAAUGACAUGGUGGCAGCCGGAAUUGUCACGGUGGCAGCUGGAAUUGACACGCUGACACAUUUAGGACAUGUGGAAAAAAAAUUAAAAAAAAUAUCCACAUCAUCAUCUUCCCAAAUCUCUCACACUCCCAAACCCUAACUUCCCCUCCCUCCACCCGCCGGCGCUGCUUGCAGCCACCAUACACCGACGCCGGCUAUCCCCUCCCCCACCCCAGACCCGUCGGCCCUCCCCUUCCCAAGUUCCCG